rnacentral:rRNA from 1 species
GAUGAACGCUGGCGGCGUGCUUAACACAUGCAAGUCGAACGAGAAGUGAAGACGGAAACCUUCGGGCGGAAGGCUUUAUUUCGAGUGGCGGACGGGUGAGUCACGCGUGGGUAACCUGCCUCAUACAGGGGGCUAACAGUUGGAAACGACUGUUAAUACCGCAUCAGACCACAGCACCGCAUGGUGCGGGGGUAAAAACUCCGGUGGUAUGAGAUGGACCCGCGUUCGAUUAGCCAGGCGGCGGGGUAACGGCCCACCAACGCGACGAUCGAUAGCCGAGCUGAGAGGAUGACCGGCCACAUUGGGACUGAGACACGGCCCAAACUCCUACGGGAGGGAGCAGUGGGGAAUAUUGCACAAUGGGGGAAACCCUGAUGCAGCGACGCCGCGUGAGUGAAGAAGUAUUUCGGUAUGUAAAGCUCUAUCAGCAGGGAAGAAAGUGACGGUACCUGAGUAAGAAGCCCCGGCUAACUACGUG